rnacentral:rRNA from 1 species
CAGUAGCCACGGUAAUACGUAGGGUGCAAGCGUUAAUCGGAAUUACUGGGCGUAAAGCGUGCGCAGGCGGUUAUAUAAGUCAGAUGUGAAAUCCCCGGGCUCAACCUGGGAACUGCAUUUGAGACUGUAUGGCUAGAGUGUGUCAGAGGGGGGUAGAAUUCCUGGUGUAGCAGUGAAAUGCGUAGAGAUCAGGAGGAACACCGAUGGCGAAGGCAGCCCCCUGGGCCUGUACUGACGCUCAUGCACGAAAGCGUGGGGAGCAAACAGGAUUAGAUACCCCCGUAGUCCCUGUCUCUUAUAC